UACCCCCGCAUGGGCCCCAAGAGGGAGCUCAAGUUUGCCCUGGAGUCUUUCUGGGAUGGGAAGAGCAGCGCUGAGGAUUUGGAGAAGGUUGCGACCGACCUCAGGGCCAGCAUCUGGAAGCAAAUGGCUGACGCUGGGAUCAAGUACAUCCCCAGCAACACCUUCUCGUACUAUGAUCAGGUUCUUGACACGGCUGCCAUGCUUGGUGCUGUCCCAGAGCGCUACUCAUGGACUGGUGGAGAGAUUGGGUUCAGCACCUACUUCUCGAUGGCUAGGGGCAAUGCCACUGUCCCUGCCAUGGAGAUGACCAAGUGGUUUGACACCAACUAGUAAGUCCUUUGCUUCCAUUUAAGCUGUCUGACAGUAACAUUUUAUUUAGAUUUCACAUUCAACAUUUUGCUAACUGCUGCUGUUGUGCCUUUACAGCCACUUUAUCGUCCCUGAACUUGGUCCCAACACCAAGUUCUCCUACUCUUCCCACAAGGCUGUGAAUGAAUACAAGGAGGCUAAGGCGGUAAGAUACUAGGAUUACAUCUUACGUCUCUGUCUGGUUCAUGAUUGUUUUCUCUGCCUGACUACAUAGGCGUUGCUAACACAUUCUUAUUGUCAUUAAUGUCUUAGUUCGUAAAGUUACUUAUUAGUUUAGCGUGUUGCUUUCUGCUAUUAUAGUGCAUUUGCUUAAUAAUUUUGUCCUAGAAAAGAAAUUCUGAUGUACAUUAAAUGGCAUGCUUACCAUGAUUUUUUUUGAAGAUUGUCACUCCUUCAGAUUGAUGGCCUGUAAAUCACAUGCCCUCCAAGUGACAGUUUGUUUAAGUUCAGUGUUAAUACUCGUGUCCAAGCAAAUUUUUGGCCCCUUGUUUAGUAUUUUGAAACUAGCAAUUUCAGAUUUGCAAAGACUAAAAUUCACUUUACAUUUAUGAAAUAAUGUUUUUUUAGCACUAUAUGUUGUUUCCAUCUUUCUCAAAAGAUGUCCAUGUUGUUUGUGGCGAAAUUGUCUGAUUUUACCUAUGCUUAAUUGGUGAGUUUACCUGAAACAUGCUUUGGUUGAAUUUACUAUCUUGUUCCAGUUUGUGAAUAGUAACAUUUCUAUUUUUAAGCAUCAAAUUCUGAAUUAAGUAGUAUUCCUUCUGGAUUGAAAAUCAUAGUGUUUUCUUAAAAAUUAAGAUGUAAUCUGGUCGUUUGUAUGUCUCAUGUAAUUGUUCUUCAUGCAGCUCGGCGUUGACACCGUGCCAGUACUUGUUGGACCAGUUUCAUACUUGUUGCUCUCCAAACCUGCCAAGGGUGUAGAGAAGUCGUUCGCUCUUCUUUCCCUUCUGAGCAGCAUCCUUCCUGUCUACAAGUAAGUGUACAAACAAGUCUAUAACUGCUGCUAGCGCUAAAUCUUCAGUUCAUAAUUUGAUGCAUGAUGAUUUGUAGGGAGGUUAUUGCUGAGUUGAAGGCAGCUGGUGCUACUUGGAUUCAGUUUGAUGAACCCACACUUGUUCUUGACCUUGACUCUCACCAAUUGGCUGCAUUCUCUGCUGCAUACACAGAACUUGAGUCGGCACUUUCUGGAUUGAAUGUGCUUAUUGAGACAUACUUCGCUGACAUUCCUGCUGAAUCAUACAAGUAUGUUUAUUUCCUGUACUAUCGUAUCAUUACCAAACCCGCCUUUCCUUUAGCAUGCUUUUUCUUUUUAGUGGCAGAACACUGAUACUGCCUUUUCACUGCAGGACCCUCACAUCCCUGAACAGCGUGACUGCUUAUGGUUUUGACCUUAUCCGUGGAGCCAAGACUCUUGACCUUAUCAAGAGUGCUGGUUUCCCCUCUGGAAAGUACCUCUUUGCCGGUGUUGUGGAUGGACGCAACAUCUGGGCUGAUGAUCUCGCUGCAUCUCUCACUACCCUUGAGUCUCUUGAGGCUAUUGUUGGAAAGGGUAAGCAAUUAAGCAUGAAGUUAUUAUAUCUGUUAUAUUUUAAUAGGUACAAUUUGCUGUAUCCAAUAAUAUCCUCAAUUUCUGCACAUCCAACAAUACCUUUCAUUUCUGCAGACAAGCUUGUGGUCUCGACUUCCUGCUCACUCAUGCACACCGCUGUGGAUCUUGUAAAUGAGACCAAGCUCGAUAGCGAGAUUAAGUCAUGGCUCGCUUUUGCUGCCCAAAAGGUGGUUGAGGUGAAUGCCCUUGCUAAGGCAUUGGCUGGACAGAAGGAUGAGGUAUGGUACUCUCUUUCACCCUUUAUUUAUUCUCUCACCUCUUAGUAAGAGAUCAGGCUUAGUUCUCAAUAUUAUUCGGAGAAACUUCUGCUGCUGCUCAGGCUUACUUUUGUACAUUUGUAAACAAUAUUGUACAGGCUUACUUUGCAGCAAACGCUGCUGCUCAGGCCUCCAGGAGGUCAUCACCUCGUGUGACAAACGAGGAAGUCCAAAAGGCUGUAAGUACCUUGCGUUUUUGGCCAGCAUUUGCUGAUUUCAUAUCAACAUAACUUCACAUGUUUUUCUUAAACACAUGAUAUUGUUUGUGAAGGCUGCUGCUCUGAAGGGGUCUGACCACCGCCGUGCUACCAAUGUUAGCGCUAGACUGGACGCACAGCAGAAGAAGCUCAACCUUCCAGUCCUUCCUACAACCACAAUUGGUUCAUUCCCACAGACUGUGGAGCUCAGGAGAGUCCGCCGUGAGUACAAGGCAAAAAAGUGAGUAACAGUCCACAUCAACGCUUCACUUGUUUCCCUUCUUUCGUCUAUAUUACUCAUAGCAAAAUACUGCUACAGGAUCUCUGAGGAGGAGUACAUCAGUGCCAUCAAGGAGGAAAUCAGCAAGGUUGUUAAGAUCCAGGAAGAGCUUGACAUCGAUGUCCUUGUUCACGGCGAGCCUGAGGUCAGUAUCCUUGUGUACUGUUUGUGUUUUCUAGACUUUGCACCUGGCUGUUUGAGAAAACAAAAUAAAUAUAUUUAUUGAAGCAUUAACAAAGUUUGGUUUGUUCUGCAUUGAAGUAAGCUAAUUGGCAUGUAUUUUAUACUUUCAGAGAAACGAUAUGGUUGAGUACUUCGGUGAGCAGCUUUCUGGUUUUGCAUUCACUGCCAACGGAUGGGUGCAAUCUUAUGGAUCACGGUGUGUCAAGCCACCAAUUAUCUAUGGUGAUGUGAGCCGCCCCAACCCCAUGACUGUGUUCUGGUCCAAGUUGGCGCAGAGCAUGACCUCUCGCCCCAUGAAGGGAAUGUUGACUGGUCCCGUCACAAUCCUUAACUGGUCUUUUGUCAGGAAUGACCAGCCGAGGUCAGUGCCUGUUGUUGAUAAUGUAAUCUAAUUUGUUCUGGUUGUGAAUGAGCAUUCUUUUCUGAGUCUGACAUUCAUACGCUGGCUCAGGUUUGAGACAUGCUACCAGAUUGCUCUUGCCAUCAAGAAGGAGGUCGAGGACCUUGAGGCUGGUGGUAUUCAGGUUGGUCCUGUUCUAUAAUUUGGUUCUCAAGAGAAUCUUGCUUACGUUUUUUUAAUGGUCCUUUGCAGGUCAUCCAAAUCGAUGAGGCUGCUUUGAGAGAAGGUCUGCCACUCCGCAAGGCGGAGCAUGCUUUCUACUUGGACUGGGCUGUUCACUCCUUCAGAAUCACCAACUGCGGUGUUCAGGACACCACCCAGGUAAUUUGCCUUGAUUACACUGUCGCUGGAGCCUCGCAUUGUCAUCGCCUAUCUUCUGGAGCUAAGAAAUUUCUCUUUGACAGAUCCACACCCACAUGUGCUACUCUAACUUCAACGACAUCAUCCACUCCAUCAUCAACAUGGACGCUGAUGUGAUCACCAUCGAGAACUCCCGGUCCGACGAGAAGCUGCUCUCCGUCUUCCGCGAGGGUGUGAAGUAUGGUGCUGGCAUUGGCCCUGGUGUCUAUGACAUCCACUCCCCAAGGAUCCCGUCCACAGAGGAGAUUGCGGACCGCGUCAACAAGAUGCUCGCGGUGCUCGACACUAACAUUCUCUGGGUGAACCCUGACUGCGGUCUCAAGACCCGCAAGUACAACGAGGUCAAGCCCGCCCUUACCAACAUGGUUUCGGCCGCCAAGCUCAUCCGCACCCAGCUCGCCAGCGCGAAGUGAGGAUAUCCAUAGCUGCAAGUUCCCUUCGGUUGCGAGGACGAUGCCGUCAUAGCCAUCUGUUUUUGAAUAAUCUGGGUCCAGUGGAUCCAAUUGUCUGUGGUUAGGUUUAGUCAGUCUCGGUGGGAAGAUCCCUCAUACCCGUUUUACUUUUGAAUCAAUUUGGUGGUUUUUGAGGCAGUUUGUCGGUGUAUUUGUAUUGUGUGUAAUCUGAGUGGGAAUCAGCAGUGUUUCAUCUGCAUCUGAAUCGUUGCGGAUCAAAUUACAAAAUUUUCAAGGAGAGUUCUUGAUGUUAUGGUCUUCCAACUACCUAAGUGUUUUGUGUCAGUUGUUCACCUGAGUUGAGAGUGGUUGAUUUCUGAUGAUUCCUUGCUGGUGGAGAUCACUUUGCAUUUUAUUUAGAUAUAAAGCCAGUCACUUGAAAUAGUUAGAUGUUGGGAUUUGAACACAUUGUUGUAAGCAUGCAACAUUAGCAAACUGUUCAUGGUCAUUUCUGGUCUGGUUGCUUGGAUCAGGACAUGAAAUGGAUUGAAAGUGGAACAAAAGUAUGCUUGCAAUGAGCAGUACCAUUUUGGUUAUUGUGGUCUUUGAGUGUAUGCAUUUGCAUUGCAGGUGGUGUUAAUUUACAUGUAAAUCUCAUUAGCUUAACAAAUACUGUACUUAAUUACAUAUCACAAUUGGCAAAUUCAUGCUCUUUUUCGUCAGAGACAUGAGAAGAGUGGCUGUCUUGCUUCUUUCUAGCUACCACGGUGCGACACGGGACAUGAGUCAUGACAAGCACCGUCGUAUGGGUCCACGCAUGAAUCUAUUAAAAACCUAUUAAAAACGUUUUCUUAUAAUGUGAAACGGGUGUUCCAUCGGUUGCUCAUAUUUCCUAAUAAAUUUAAACAGCUUAUUAGGGAAUAAAAAUUAUUUUAUACAUAAAACUUUUAUAUAUUUGUUCGUAGCGAAUUAAAAGUCAAUGAUAAAAAAAAUUACGUUAAAAAUAUCUCAAAAAUCAAUUUCCAAAUCAAGUUGAAAAUUUUAAAUUUUGGUUUAUUAGGCGAACCGACGGGGGUUUAUUGGAUCAUGACAUGUUUCAGCGUGUGGCCUUGACAAAGAUAGUGAUGUGCAAGUAGAAAAUCCAUGGAAAUUAUCGACGAGUUUUUAGUUUUGACCCCAGCACAGAGAUGAUUGGCUCUAUCUACUACUCCAUCUUUGGUGAAUCACAGCCAUAAUAAUUUUUUUUUCUGUUCAAAAUCUGAAUUUUGUGACUGCACUCCCAUUUUCACCCAAGUAAGUGUGAACUUCCCCUGAUUGCAACCUUGAAAAAAUGAAGUGCAUAUGCAUAGAGUCAGAAUAACAUUUCAUUAUCCACCAACCCCCAUGGGAGUUAGGAGCGCCUAACAUUUCUUCUUCUUUGAUAUCCACCAACCCCCAUGGCCCCACAUAAGUAAGCAUCAUUGAUCAACUCCCCUCUACCAUGACAUGAACACAUAAACUCCUGCCUAAUAUUCUCAACAAAAUGGACUUCCCAUGAUACAAAAAUACUCAACUUCAUGCAUGCAAAAUGAGGAGAUAUUUGCAGCUAAGGUGACCCCAUCAUGGUUGUUAAGAGUAGGAGGAGCACCAAUUGAAGGAUUUCAAGUAUAUUCCAUGUUCAUUCUUGAUUGGCACGAUCUAAUCAAGAUUCCAGUAGUUUCAAAAAAGAAAAAAAAAGAAAAUCAAGAUUCCAGUGAAGCACUUUAAAUUUCCACUACUCCUACUGCUCCAGUCUCCACAUGGUUUGCAUUGAGUUCUAAGAUAGUCAGUGCUCAGUACCAUGUUGUAUAUGAUGAACAUUCAUUUGCAUUUGGAGUUGGACAAAAGGAGUUCUGCAAAUGUAAACUGAGUUUCAGACUUUUUAUACAUUUCUGAUUUCAGUAACAUUGCAUCUACAGCAUAAACGAUCUGCUUAACUUUAUGGCUAACUUUAUACAUUGGUUGGCUAAACUCUUGUUAGAGUACUUCCUAAGUGGGAUUUGGUAUAAGUAAAGGUUCAUUGAAUCCAGACAUAUUGCAGACUAUCCCAGAUCGACAAAAAACUGUGGCUUGAAAGUUCAGUCACACCUCAUCUCAAGAAAAUUUCCUCUCCAAGCUCUUCUCAGGAUUCAUCAAAAGUUGGUUAAUUUACUGAACCCAAAGCCAGACACAAUUUUAUUUUUUCAAGGAGCUUGGAUCCAACACUGAUGUGAUUAAAAAACCCCAAACCUGGAUCAAAUAAAUCUUGUACUACUACAAUAGUACUCUACUGUACUAGUACUGCAACUACAAACAAGACACAUGAAGACAAUGUCACGUGAAGAUCUGCCAUUGGUCCGUGCUGCCUCCAAUGGCGAUAAAAAACUGUUUACUUUGUCGGUAACUGUAAUUAGCGACUGAUAAUUCGUGUUUACUUAUUAUAAGCUUGAGGCUCUAUAUGUUGCAGGACAGCAUGGACAGCAAUCAUGCAAGAACGUGCUAUCACAGUCAGUACUCACAGCCUCUUGUCCCUUUCUAUGGGAAUAUAAUAGUCCCUUCAAUUCUUUUUCUUAAUUUUUCUCCUCUAAAAUGAAUGACUGAAUUGUCUAAAUUAAGUUGUAUGCGAGAUUGUUUGUGCAGCAUUUUAAGGUAGACUAUAGUGGAGAAUUUGUUGGUGUUCAGUUUUCUCUUUUGAGAAAUAGUGUCAUCAGUAUGUUUUACUAGCUUGUACCCAAAAUUUCCCUACUUCCUUAUUUAUCAUUUAAAAUUGUCUCUUCCACUGUGUUUUCAUAAUUUUAAGAGGGUGGGUAGACAGGAAUCAAAGUGGUAAAGAGCUUUAGUAAAAUGUCUAGAUCCCUCACAGAUUCCUUCACAAAUUAUUCAAGAGGACUGAAUUCUCUGGAUACAAAAUAUUUCUUUGUUGAUCGUAUCUCAUAUCACAAUCCAUUGGAAAAGAUGGAGGGUAAUUCCAAAGGAAAAGUGUAUACUGGACUAAACUAAAUUAAACAAUUUUUAAACUUCACACAAAAUGAAACUAUGACAACCGUGCAAGAGCCUCCAGGCCACCAUCUCACCAACCACAGCCUCUCUCACCAACUCUGCUCCUCCAAUUGUUAAUUUAAGGAGAGAAUGACUUUUCUUUUAGCUAAUAACUAUACUAAUACUAUAUUUGUGCUCAAUAAUUACGUGACUUUCGGCACUAAAAAAAUGGAGUUACAUUUGUACAUGUAUAGCUAGCUAGCAUUAGCCCAUAAUACGAUGUGGUAAACCAUUAUUUAAUUUAGUCGUCAUGCCUCAUCAUGCAUAAACGUGGAAAAGGCAGACAAACUUUCUCAAAGGCAGCUUUUUUUGUUUUUGGUGGAAACACAAUUGGCUUGAGUUGGGUACAUGAUCAUAGCUACACACAGAAAAAAAAACUUCUGAAAUAAUCAGAUAUGUAAACCUUAGCUAACAAUAAACAAUUAUUUUUGAACAGCUUGGUCAGAAUAUAUUUUCAAACAACAGUAAUGAAAAACAGGUCAAACUUACAACAAAUAAUAUGAAAAAUAUUUCUCCAUUUUCUUGAGAAAACAAAUCAAAUCACAACCCACAUGUAUAUUUGAAACUACUAUUAAAAAUGGAUAUUUUAGCCACCGAGAUAUUACAUAAUAAUUUCUAAAUUAGUUUUCUAUGCGGCAAGAGAUGAGGAUCAUAAUCAUUAAAAGUAUGCAUAUUAUGAUACUAUGUUAAGUGGAACAAGUCCUAAUUUGUAGUGAUCCAUCAUUUAACCUGGACAAUUAAUCUCUACCCACACUAAAAUGGUGCAAGCUUAGCUACACAUCAUACACAGAAAAACACAAUAUUGCACAAUCUAGAGAUGCCGUAGACUCGAAUAGUCAUUUUCCAUGUAAAUAUGAUAUUAUAAUUAACUCAUGCGUAGGCUAAUGUAGCAAUAGGGAUAUGGACAUUGUCAAAAGUGGUUUAAAAGAAGGUUAAUUAUGAUGAUAUGUGGUAACUGGAGCACGACCUAAUUUACGGUGAUCAUCCAUAACUUAACAUUGACAAUUACUCUUACCGACAAUAAAAAAAGGUUCAUGACUAAUGAAAUACUACCAGAUUUGAGUAUUGUACUGCACAAGCUGGUGUACUUGCACGACACAAACUUGUUUUCAGAUAAAUAUCCCAUACUGCAAUACUUUUGAAUACAUAUUUUUGUAAAUGGAGAUGUCAUUGGAGCGGUCCGAAGAACUAUGAUGACAUGGUAACUCAAGUACGACCUAAUUUACAGUGAUCAUCCAUAACUUAACAUUGACAAUCAAUCUUACGGUCUUACCAACACUAAAAAGGCUCAUGGUGAAAUGAAAUGCUACCAUAUUUGAGUAUUUGACAUGGGACACCCCAUACCAACUUGUUUUUAGGGGGAAAAUAAAUAUUUAGGACUGGUUUUGUCUGGGGCUUGACCUUAACAAUUUUUGCUAAUGUUAAAUUUCGGCAUAGCCUCUUUUGACAAUGUAAUACUAUUAAAAAUACCAAAUAUUUGUAAGGCCAAUUUAGGCCACAAAUGAAACCAACCUGAAUCUCUUUUAUUAAUAUAUUCUUAUUCUAUAUCCUUUAUAAAUGAAUUUCCCUAAAAAAUUAGCCCCAAUCCUAUAUGCUUAAUCCAUAAAUUAUUCUAACCAUCAACUAAAAAAACCCUAAAAAAGUUUAUUCUUGCAAUUGCUCAUGAUACCCUCUUGUAGCUCAUAGGUAUAUUUUUUCUAAAGUUCAAUAUUGUCGACGAGUGAUACUCGCGGACCGGAUGAGUAGAGUAUUGGGGUACGUUGGAACGAGGGUUUACAUAGUACGACAUCAAAGCAGACAAAAGGCAAGGAUUAUACUGGUUCAGACCCUUAUCAGGUAAUAGCCCUAGUCCAGUUUAUAUGGGAUUGAUGAUGAUGAGAACAGAUUACAAAGAGAGUAGUCAAAACAGAUGAUACCGACGAGAUCGUAGUCGAGGGUUUCGACGAGAUCUCUCGGCAAGUUGGCUCCGCGUACUCCAGCUUCGUAAGCUUUGGUGGGUGUGUUGGCGAAGAGAUUCUGAUCCGAACCUCUCCCAAGGGGUCCCCUUUUAUACCGUGAGUCAUCUUGAUCCCCAAGAAAGGUUUUGAGGAUAUCGGACCUGGGACGGUCUAACGGAAACUUUAUCCCUUACGAGUAGAACUUUAUAAAUCACUUGACUCGUAAAGAUAUUUUCCUUAAUUUGAAGUAACUUCCAUACGACAUAUAUGUAAAUAAUCCGUAUACGUAAAGGUAUACCAUAUUGGUAUAUUUCACAAGUCGCAGGAUAGAAGGUAUGCCUUAUCCGUAACCCUGACAAAUAUCCCUCUUACUAACUAGAAAUAAAAUAAUUAGUUCAAACUCCCAAAAUGGUGCUAUCUAUAUAGACACUAUAUAUAUUACCAUUUGCAAAAAAAAAAAGAAGAAGAAGAAGAAGAAGAAAAAUAUUCCCUUCAUUUUUAUCUAGUUGACGCGGGUUAGUUCCAUUUUGCACUAACCAACAUCAAAUUUUUUAAAAAGGAGGGAUUGUAUAUUAUCACAAUAGUUUUUAAUACAUACAUGGGAAAGGCCAAAAGUCGCAUAACAACAAAAGGGUAAAUGUGCUUUUCAUCGAAGAAAAAGAAGUUCAAAAUCUACCCUUAGUCCAAAUGAUCAUGACAAACAAAAUAGGACAUAAUCCCUGCGGUUCCAUAAUUCUUGACGUCCUUACCAAUAACACAGGGCAUCAUUUUUUCGCUUAUGCUUAUAUUUAUCAGCCAAAAUUUGAAUUUUCAACCUUAAAUUUGGAGCUGAUUUUAAGGAUUUUUUUUUAUCGAAGUUUAUUUUUCAGCUUUUGCUUUUAGAUCGCUAAGAACGCACAUAUAAAAAUUUUAUUCACAUACUACUUUUCGUUUGCAAAUAUGCCAUUUCGCUUAUUCCGAGAAUAAGUGAAACAAUGGCUCCAAUAGUCUUUAAAAUAUAUCUUUGAUUAUGUUUUUAUCUUAAAUAUAUAUACAUAUAUAAUAAAUAAAUAUAAUUUUACUUUUAUCAUAAUAUUUUUGAAAAAUAAAUAUCUCUAUGUAUAUUGUUCUAUUAUAUUUAUAAACUAAAUACUUUUAAAUUAUUUGUACUUCUAAUUAAAUUUAUAAAAGUUUCACCUCGACCGAAUUAUGAAACCGUUGCGAGUAUAAGAGAAAACACAAUCUUAACAAAACAUUAAGAUGAAAAGGAUGAAACUUUUCAUCUUAAAAAACCGUGCACAAAACACAAUCCUAAUAAGUACUUCAUUCGUUUUAUAUUAUAAGACUUUCUACCAUUUCUUUUAUUUAUAUAGAUGUUAAUGAAUUUAUACGUAAUAUGAAACGGAAUGAAGUAGUAAAACAUUCAGAUGAAAAAGAUGAAACUUUUCAUCUGAAAAACCGUGCACCACCAGAUGAGCCUCUGCUUUCAGAUCUCACCAACCAACCAAAAAAAAAAAUCUCCUCUCUUCUUAUAUAAAUAAGGAACUCUCCCAAACCCCUCUUCUCCGUCCUCCUCCUCCUCCUCCCUCGCCGUCCGCCGCCGCCGCUCGCUUCCUCCCCUCUCCCACGGUAAGCCCGCGCCGCCGCUCUCUCCCUCUCCUCCGUCACCCUUCCCUUCCUCCGAAUCGGCCGAGUCUGUCAGCGACGGAGACCGCGCCGGGAUCCGUGCCCAUUCGCGUAGUAGCGGCGAGCGACGGUUUUUUUUUUUUUUGCCUGCAAAGUCGGUCGCUUUCGUGUGGCGUCGGGUCGGGGAGAAUGGAUCGAUCUGUUCGUCUUGAUCGGAUGGAUUGAUCGAUCAAUCGAUCUUGGUGGGAUCCGAUCUGAAUGAGGUUUUUGGGUUAGGAAAUGGAGUGAAAGAUUGGACUUUUUUUUUUGUCGGUGUGUUGCACGGUUCGUUUAGGAUUGGAUCUGUGUUUUCUUCCGUGGAAAAUCUUCCAUUUUUCACUGCAAGUGCACAUUUGUGGCCUCUUCAGUACUUGUGUUUCUAAACCCGGGGGGUUUUUGGAUCUGACACCGAGGUUUAGUCCGUGUUGUCAUAUGUUUUUUCUCAAAUUCUGUUACGAUAUUCUCCUAUUAUAAAUGCAUUACGGUGUACUAGACCCUGUGAUCUGUGGAGUACAUGUUAAGGUCGUGCUUCCAGUACCAUCGCAUCUACUGUCAUUUGGUUGCCAUCUCGUAUUAUUUGGUUAGGAAUUUGCAAUUGCCUGCAUGCUAAUAAAUGAAUUGUUGUUUGUAUGGCAUGCCAAACAAGAUCCAACUACUUUGCUGCUGGUGUGAGAGGGACAGUGUCUCCCACCAAUUGUAGUUGGUCUUAUGUACCCACCACUUUGGGCUGGGUCCUACUACAUGCUAGUGCUGGUUGGUGGUGUACCUAACCCAUAUACUAGUAUCAGUUUAGUCUAUUCUUUUAGCACCACUGGAUCUGGUGAUAUAGCCCCAUGUAUAGGAAUCAGGAAGAUUAGUAGAACAGAAAACACAAAAGUAUGCUUUAAUAGUUGGAUGGCAUAUACCUUUAUUCGGAUCACCGUUCCAAAUGUGACGUUAGUAUCCGUUAGUGGCAUGCUUUUUAAUCUAACAAGGCGUUCUUCAUCGUGUGGUUAGCAUAUGGAUAUGUGUAAUCUUGUUAGCUAAAUCAUAAUUUUCGUAUGUAUUCACAUGACAUUUCGAUGAAUCAAACUGAUCGUAGUACAAUUGUUUCUAUAGAAAGAUGGCGUCUCACAUUGUUGGAUACCCCCGCAUGGGCCCCAAGAGGGAGCUCAAGUUUGCCCUGGAGUCUUUCUGGGAUGGGAAGAGCAGCGCUGAGGAUUUGGAGAAGGUUGCGACCGACCUCAGGGCCAGCAUCUGGAAGCAAAUGGCUGACGCUGGGAUCAAGUAUAUCCCCAGCAACACCUUCUCGUACUAUGAUCAGGUUCUUGACACGACCGCCAUGCUUGGUGCUGUCCCAGAGCGCUACUCAUGGACCGGUGGAGAGAUUGGGUUCAGCACCUACUUCUCGAUGGCUAGGGGAAAUGCCACUGUCCCUGCUAUGGAGAUGACCAAGUGGUUUGACACCAACU
rnacentral:lncRNA from 1 species